GUGGGGAAUCUUAGACAAUGGGCGCAAGCCUGAUCUAGCCAUGCCGCGUGAGCGAUGAAGGCCUUAGGGUUGUAAAGCUCUUUCAGGGGGGAAGAUAAUGACGGUACCCCCAGAAGAAGCCCCGGCUAACUCCGUGCCAGCAGCCGCGGUAAUACGAAGGGGGCUAGCGUUGUUCGGAUUUACUGGGCGUAAAGCGCACGUAGGCGGAUUGUUAAGUCGAGGGUGAAAUCCCAGGGCUCAACCCUGGAACUGCCUUCGAUACUGGCAAUCUUGAGUCCGGAAGAGGUGAGUGGAACUCCUAGUGUAGAGGUGGAAUUCGUAGAUAUUAGGAAGAACACCAGUGGCGAAGGCGGCUCACUGGUCCGGUACUGACGCUGAGGUGCGAAAGCGUGGGGAGCAAACAGGAUUAGAAACCCUGGUAGUCC
rnacentral:rRNA from 1 species